rnacentral:rRNA from 1 species
UACGUAGGGUGCAAGCGUUGUCCGGAAUUAUUGGGCGUAAAGAGCUCGCAGGCGGUCUGUCGCGUCUGCUGUGAAAACUCAGGGCUUAACCCUGAGCUUGCAGUGGGUACGGGCAGACUAGAGUGCGGUAGGGGAGACUGGAAUUCCUGGUGUAGCGGUGAAAUGCGCAGAUAUCAGGAGGAACACCGGUGGCGAAGGCGGGUCUCUGGGCCGUAACUGACGCUGAGGAGCGAAAGCAUGGGGAGCGAACAGG